CUGCAUCAUGAUUUACAUUUGAGUGAGUGGCGAACUGGUGAGUAACACGUGGGAAACCUGCCCAGAAGCGGGGGAUAACACCUGGAAACAGAUGCUAAUACCGCAUAACAACUUGGACCGCAUGGUCCGAGUUUGAAAGAUGGCUUCGGCUAUCACUUUUGGAUGGUCCCGCGGCGUAUAGCUAGAUGGUGAGGUAACGGCUCACCAUGGCAAUGAUACGUAGCCGACCUGAGAGGGUAAUCGGCCACAUUGGGACUGAGACACGGCCCAAACUCCUACGGGAGGCAGCAGUAGGGAAUCUUCCACAAUGGACGAAAGUCUGAUGGAGCAACGCCGCGUGAGUGAAGAAGGGUUUCGGCUCGUAAAACUCUGUUGUUAAAGAAGAACAUAUCUGAGAGUAACUGUUCAGGUAUUGACGGUAUUUAACCAGAAAGCCACGGCUAACUACGUGCCAGCAGCCGCGGUAAUACGUAGGUGGCAAGCGUUGUCCGGAUUUAUUGGGCGUAAAGCGAGCGCAGGCGGUUUUUUAAGUCUGAUGUGAAAGCCUUCGGCUCAACCGAAGAAGUGCAUCGGAAACUGGGAAACUUGAGUGCAGAAGAGGACAGUGGAACUCCAUGUGUAGCGGUGAAAUGCGUAGAUAUAUGGAAGAACACCAGUGGCGAAGGCGGCUGUCUGGUCUGUAACUGACGCUGAGGCUCGAAAGUAUGGGUAGCAAACAGGAUUAGAUACCCUGGUAGUCCAUACCGUAAACGAUGAAUGCUAAGUGUUGGAGGGUUUCCGCCCUUCAGUGCUGCAGCUAACGCAUUAAGCAUUCCGCCUGGGGAGUACGGCCGCAAGGCUGAAACUCAAAGGAAUUGACGGGGGCCCGCACAAGCGGUGGAGCAUGUGGUUUAAUUCGAAGCUACGCGAAGAACCUUACCAGGUCUUGACAUACUAUGCAAAUCUAAGAGAUUAGACGUUCCCUUCGGGGACAUGGAUACAGGUGGUGCAUGGUGUCGUC
rnacentral:rRNA from 2 species